UACGUAGGGUGCAAGCGUUAAUCGGAAUUACUGGGCGUAAAGCGUGCGCAGGCGGUGAUGUAAGACAGAUGUGAAAUCCCCGGGCUCAACCUGGGAACUGCAUUAGUGACUGCAUCGCUGGAGUGCGGCAGAGGGGGAUGGAAUUCCGCGUGUAGCAGUGAAAUGCGUAGAUAUGCGGAGGAACACCGACGGCGAAGGCAAUCCCCUGGGCCUGCACUGACGCUCAUGCACGAAAGCGUGGGGAGCAAACAGG
rnacentral:rRNA from 1 species